rnacentral:rRNA from 1 species
UUCUAAGGGCGGUGAAGUCAGACCGGAAGGACUGGUGGAGCGCUUAGAAGUGAGAAUGCCGGUAUGAGUAGCGAAAGAAGGGUGAGAAUCCCUUCCACCGAAUAUCUAAGGUUUCCUGAGGAAGGCUCGUCCGCUCAGGGUUAGUCGGGACCUAAGCCGAGGCCGAUAGGCGUAGGCGAUGGACAACAGGUAGAGAUUCCUGUACCAGUGCUAAUUGUUUAACCGAUGGGGUGACACAGAAGGAUAGGGAAUCGCACGAAUGGAAAUGUGCGUCCAAGCAGUGAGUGUGAGAAGUAGGCAAAUCCGCUUCUCGCGAAGCAUGAGCUGUGAUGGGGAAGGAAAUUAAGUACGGAAGUUCCUGAUUUCACGCUGUCAAGAAAAGCCUCUAGGAAGAGUAGUACUGCCCGUACCGCAAACCGACACAGGUAGAUGAGGAGAGAAUCCUAAGGUGAGCGAGAGAACUCUCGUUAAGGAACUCGGCAAAAUGACCCCGUAACUUCGGGAGAAGGGGUGCUCUAUUAGGGUGCAAGCCCGAGAGAGCCGCAGUGAAUAGGCCCAGGCGACUGUUUAGCAAAAACACAGGUCUCUGCAAAACCGUAAGGUGACGUAUAGGGGCUGACGCCUGCCCGGUGCUGGAAGGUUAAGAGGAGUGCUUAGCUUCGGCGAAGGUACGAAUUGAAGCCCCAGUAAACGGCGGCCGUAACUAUAACGGUCCUAAGGUAGCGAAAUUCCUUGUCGGGUAAGUUCCGACCCGCACGAAAGGCGCAACGAUCUGGGCACUGUCUCAACGAGAGACUCGGUGAAAUUAUAGUACCUGUGAAGAUGCAGGUUACCCGCGACAGGACGGAAAGACCCCGUGGAGCUUUACUGCAACCUGAUAUGGAAUGUUUGUACCGCUUGUACAGGAUAGGUAGGAGCCGAAGAGACGUGUGCGCUAGCAUACGAGGAGGCAAUGGUGGGAUACUACCCUGGCUGUAUGACCAUUCUAACCCGCCACGCUUAGCGCGUGGGGAGACAG